rnacentral:rRNA from 1 species
UACGUAGGUCCCGAGCGUUGUCCGGAUUUAUUGGGCGUAAAGCGAGCGCAGGUGGUUUAUUAAGUCUGGUGUAAAAGGCAGUGGCACAACCAUUGUAUGCAUUGGAAACUGGUAGACUUGAGUGCAGGAGAGGAGAGUGGAAUUCCAUGUGUAGCGGUGAAAUGCGUAGAUAUAUGGAGGAACACCAGUGGCGAAGGCGGCUUACUGGACGAUGACUGACGCUGAGGCUCGAAAGCGUGGGGAGCAAACAGG